CGGAUGGAAGGUAGUUGGUAAAUGUGGGUUUUGUAGGUUAGGAGGGGUAAAUGAAGCAAUUGAAGUUUGUUACAAGAUUCUCAGAUUCCAGACUUUUAUCAUUUGCUCUGGCGCUUGUCAAUAAGGAUUGCGUCAAUGAUGUGUAUUAAAGGGGGCGGGAAGAGUAGAGCGAGGGCUCUUUAGGGGUAGUGGUUAGUGUCUAGGUAAGGUGUUGAUUAGUUCAAAUGGCUGGUGGCCUGUUUGUGAUGCUGAUAAUGUGGGUACAGUUUCCGCACUGGCCGAGGUGAGGGAACAUGAAGGUCUCUUCGUAACCUCUCCCCUUGACUAAAGUGUCGUUAAACCACCAGCAGUCAGUGCUCUCUCUAAUGAGAGAGCAGCCCUAAGUCUGAUAGGACUAUUGUGACUUUACCUUUUAGCUCUGAGUCAGAACGCAGCUUCAAGUCCUGCUUGUUCCAGAGCAGAGGGAGACAUUGUUGAGACAUAAAGCAAGAAGAUUGCCAUAAUGUAGGACCAAAUUACUGCAGAUGCUGGAGAUCACAAUGGGUCAGAUGACAUCAAUGAAGAGAGAGCAAGCUGACGUGGAGUCUAGAUGACUUCAUCAGAGCUGAAGUGAAGUGUGGAGGGCACAGGCAGCAUUUAUGCCAUAACUUUUUUUUUUAAAUGUAGCUUUCUGCACUUUCAGAUGGUGACUCUCAGUAUUAAUGAUCAUUUGGCGUUACUUCUGUGAAACAACUGCAUUUCCAUUCAGCAUUUUAAUGAGGUUUUUUAUUGCCAUGACAGUCAUUGUGAAACUAGAAUAUAAAAAAACUCACCAUAUACCACUAUAUUCAUUGAAAAGAUUGCAAAUGGACUAAAUUAUAACAUUGUAUUAAAGUAGAUGACAGGCACUUUAUUAUUCAACCACUCAAGUGCUGUGUGCUAUUUAAUACAUCUUGCUGUUUUAAAAAUCAUACAAAGCAUCACGAGGUAGCAGUGAACAAAAUAACUUUUUAUUCUUCACCAGUGCACAGCAGAGCUGCAAAAUUUAUUUACAAAUGAUACUGCAUUAGAAGUCAUGCACAAUUCACAAUUUUUCAAGCAUUAAAAAUACUUUAACUGAUUUUCUUUAAGUUUGUUUCAAUUAGGUGGAGUUAUCAUGCAAUGGAAAUAUCUUGUAUCUGUUCUUUGAAAUCUGGCACCAAGUUAGACUGUGACAGAUAUGGGAGAAGAACAGUAAAAUCUCCAUCAUGCCAUGCUUUGAUGCAAGGAUGAAAAUAAUUGUUGCAUGUAUAUUAUACUUGUGUGGAAACCUAGCCAAAAAUAUUAAAAAUAUCAUUCUGCUUCUGAAA